CCUACGGGAGGCAGCAGUAAGGAAUAUUGGUCAAUGGACGAAAGUCUGAACCAGCCAUGCCGCGUGAAGGAUGACGGCCCUCUGGGUUGUAAACUUCUUUUAUCUGGGACGAAAAAAGGGAAUUCUUUCUCACUUGACGGUACCAGAGGAAUAAGCACCGGCUAACUCCGUGCCAGCAGCCGCGGUAAUACGGAGGGUGCAAGCGUUAUCCGGAUUCACUGGGUUUAAAGGGAGCGUAGGUGGGCAGGUAAGUCAGUGGUGAAAUCUCCGGGCUUAACCCGGAAACUGCCAUUGAUACUAUUUGUCUUGAAUUAUCUGGAGGUAAGCGGAAUAUGUCAUGUAGCGGUGAAAUGCUUAGAUAUGACAUAGGACACCGAUUGCGAAGGCAGCUUACUACGGAUAUAUUGACACUGAGGCUCGAAAGCGUGGGGAUCAAACAGGAUUAGAUACCCUGGUAGUCCAUGCCCUAAACGAUGGAUACUCGACAUCAGCGAUACACUGUUGGUGUCUGAGCGAAAGCAUUAAGUAUCCCACCUGGAAGUACGACCGCAAGGUUGAAACUCAAAGGAAUUGACGG
rnacentral:rRNA from 1 species